rnacentral:lncRNA from 10 species
UAGGAUAAGACAGCUCAUACAUGAAUGAUUUCUGUUUCUGUUGGAGAUGAAAGUAUUACUAGUCACACAGAGAAAGGGCUAGGGGCUAAAUGAGCUGCACUGAUGGUAAAUGCUGAUAGAGGCCUAUGGAGGGGACCUUGUGGCCCAGGGCAGCAAGAAAUGCUGCAUUGGAGAGAUGGGGUACAUGCGAGUGACAAUGGGAAGAGUUGGUAGCUGGAGAGAACUGGGAAAGCCUUCAGGAGAAACGUGGGGCUAAAAUAAGCCCAGAAGCUGAGGAAGGGCUGAGUCAGACCCUCAGAGUGGAGCAAUCACUGCACGGCUGCUCCUUGUAAGAAACAUCCCGUUGCGCCUGAGUUGUUUAUUGCCAGGAGCUGUAAGUGAAAAAUGAGCUCUCUUAAGCCAGGCUGGGAGCAGGCUCCUCUUCCUGGAGAUGGCACGAUGCUUCACAGCUUGGAAACGUUCUGUGCCAGUAUAAAAGGGGUGGCAUACAUCCCUCGGAGCAGGAAAGCCUGAUUUGGUUUGUCCAAGCAGCUCCGCAAACUCACUCUCAGGCCCUAAAUGAUGUGGGCUGUUAACGGUGGAGAAAGGAAUUCCGA